rnacentral:lncRNA from 1 species
GAGAAUAACUUAAAGGAAAAAAAAUACAUUUGUUUUAGCUUACAGCUUUGAGACUCCACUUCAUAGCCCCUGGUUCCAUAGAUUCUGGGCAUAUACUAAGGCAGAAUGUGACUAUUCUUGGGACCAGGCAGUCAACACACAUGGCUAUGGAGAACGUUGUGUCUUUUAACCAUAAUAAUACCUGAUUCAUGGAAAAGUAGUGGUGACAAAUUUCUGGUAAAUGUACAGAAGGCUUCAUACAUAAAGUGGUCCGCUAAACCAGGCAGGGGUGGUGCAUGCCUUGAAUCACAGCACUUGGGGGGCAGAGGCAAGCAGAUAUGAGUUCAAAGCCAGCCUGGUCUACAAAGCAAGUUCCAAGGCUGCCAAAGUUAUACAGAUAACUGUCUGGGAGUGGCAGGUCAUCUGAGUCUUGAAGAACUGAUGGGGGUAUUGUCAGGAAAAAAGUGGAAGGUGAAGAGGAUGCUCUAAGUAUUGAGUAUUUGGGCUGCUAUUUGAGUGACAGAGCUUUAUGCAUGUUCUUUGGGUGGAUUUGGUGGAGUGGUACUGACAGCAGCAAGAUGUAAUUGGUGGUCUCUGCUGGAACCCUGGAUGACAUGGCUGGAGCCAGCUCUUCAAAGAUUCGUUGGGCAGCAGAGGGUUUUUUUUUUUUUUUUUUUUUUUGUGAUAACAAGGAACUCUUGAAGGUUUCUGUCUGUCAAUGCAGGAGAGAAACAGACUAGGAAGUAAAAUCUUAUAACACCAGAGUAGGGGAAAGACUGGAGAGGAGGGAGCCUGAAGGCAGGCUGACCAUCUGAUUGGUCCAGGCAAGAGAGGAAAUUUCUCUGAACCAGAGACUGUGGGAGUGAGCUCUGGGAGGAGGGGAUGGCUUCAUAAUGUCACAUGCCAAUGGCUUCCUUGCAUGUCAGCAUGUGGAAACCAUGGGGCUGGGUGUCAUUGGGUCAAGGGGGUGGAAUGUGACAACGAUCUUGACAUUCCAGCUUGGGCCUGUGGUGACACUGUCAGUAGAGACAAGGAACUCAUGUAGGUAGGAGUGAUGGUAAAAGAUGACAGGCCAGCUUGGAUGUGCUAAGCUUGUGGGUGCCAGUGGGGCUUCUAAGUGGCUAGAGAAGCUGAGAAUUGUGGCCCAGAGCUCAGGCAAGGCUUGAAGGCUAAGAAGCCACAAUGGUCCAAGCAAUACCCGUUGACUUCAUGACUUGUUUCCCCCCCCCCAUUUUGGUGGUGGGGAAACUGGCCUUGCACUAGAGGACAUGCUUUUUACUCUUCCCAGAAACCUUAUCUGAUCUCCCUCAAGGCCAGAAUCUUCCUUUAAGGGCCAUGGCUUUGGCCACCAUUGGAAGGGAAGAUGACAAUCAGGCAUGUAGGUAUUCAUGUAGAGUUCAAAUACACAAGAGAUCAAAAGGUUAUGGACAGCACAGUCUCUAGAUCUUAAGUCAUACGUCUUUAAAACAAAACAAAAUAGCUGCAGAGACGGCUCAGAGUUUAAGAGCACUGGCUGCUCUUCUAGAGGUCUUACGUUCAAUUCCCAGCACCUACAUAGUGGUUUCUGGCUAUCAAUAAAAGGAUCCGAUACCCUUUUCUGGCAUGUGUGUGUACAUGUAGCAGAACACUCAUACAUAAAAUAAAUAAGAAAAAAAUAAAAAUAAAUUAAAAAAAAGUUUUAACAAACAAAACAGGGUACUGUAUUGUAGUAAAAUUUACCAAAUCAAUAACUGGGUGCUUGUAGCUAAAAGGAUAAAGGCCACAGUUACAUGAUGGUGGCUGGAACCUUCCAUGCUUGGAAGCUGGAAUUGGGGCGUGGGCACUUUUUCUUCCUUCCUUCCUUCCUUCCUUCCUUCCUAUCUAUCUAUCUAUCUACUUUUCAGAUUUAUCCUGUGAAAAACCACAGCUGGUCUUCUAGGAGUUCUAAAACUUUAAUUAGAGCCAGCAGGUCCAAGAAUCAUAUACCAUAAUUCCAUAAAUCUAAUGCAACAAGGUAGGCCUGGAAGUCAGAAGUGAUACUAUGAAAACAUAUAGCCUUUACAUAGAAAAGUAGAAAACAACCCUUACUAACGAUCAAAGAUCCUGCUUUAACUAAGAUUUGUUAGUAUCCUCACCUGAGCUCUAGACAUAGGAGAAGUGCCUUGCUUUAAUAUCUCUUACUGUUUUCAUUUUAAGCACGUCCUGGACUGAAGACAAACAAACACAGGCCAGAAACUAUAUGGCAUUUAGCAAAGGAUCCAGCUGUCUUUUCUCCUCUUUAAAAACAGUACUUGCCUAGAUGCCCAUAUUGGUUACUUUUCUUAGUGUUGUGACAAACUAUCUGACAAAGACAAUGAUUAGUUUCAUUUAAGGAAGGCUUGACUUUUUUGCUUUCGGUUUGAAGGGCUACGGUCCAUCAUGGCAGGGAAAUCACAGAUGCAGGAUCAGGAGGUUGCUGCUCAGCCACAUUGAUGCAGUCAGCAAUAGAGAGAGAUGCAUGCCAGGGCUCAGUUCAGUUCCUCCUCUUUGUUUAUUUGUUCGUUUGCUUGCUUGCUUGCUUGCUUGCUUGCUUGCUUGCUUGCUUGAGUGUUUUGAUUCAAUGUAAUACCCCAGGUCAUGGAAUGACACCACUUAUAUUCAAGAUGCACCAUUCUAUCUCAGUUACGCUUCAGUGGAAAUGCUUUCACAGGUAUGCCCACAGGUGUGUUACCUUUCCAAAUCCAAUCCAUUUGGCAAUUGAAACUCGUCACCACAUGUCCUCAACCCCGACCCCAGAAACUACCCUAGAAUGAUCCUAAAACUUUAGAAAUACUUCUCCUGGGAUCAGAAGGCCAUUUCUUAGAACAGCAGAGAAAUCUUAUGUACCAGGAAAGGGCAGAGUGACAUCUCCAAGCCCAUUGGAAAAGUUCUUUCUCCAGUAUAUAUACGCACACCUGGGGAAGGGCUCUGAGGGUCAGGUCAUAUUCUUGAGAGGGAUAGGAUACCUUCCCAACAGACACUGUUGAGUAACCUCACUCUCUGUCUUGUUCUUUAUGCCCUUGAUACACAGGCCCAGCCAAAACCUACUCCCAAGCUAAUCAUAGUUUUAGUUUUUUUUCCUAGGUGGGAAAAUUGUUAAAAGAGAGAGAGAGAGAAGGCAAGACAAUCAUCUCCUCCUGAACACACCAGAGUCAGGGCUUGGGCCUUAAGGCUGAGAUUAUCUGACAAGCAUGAUGGUGCAUACGUUUAAUUUCAGCACUAAGGAUGCAGACAGAUGGAUCUCUGUGAGUGAGCUCAAUGCUUCCUUUGCAUAAUGAGUUCCAGGCUAGACACAUAGCCAUAGCACUAGCCACUGAAUCUUAUUGUGCUUUGGUUUCUUCAUGUCCAAGAUGGAGACAAGGAAUCUUCUUCCUUUAGAUUGAUAAUGGAAGGUUUGUGUCCAUACAUCUUGCCACUUAUGAUGAUGUCACCGAGUCGGAUAUGUUGAAGGCAGGAAGAUUAUAAGUCCAUGCAUGUUAAAGCUUUAGUUAGCUUUAGGACUUGACUGUAGAAAGCCUCCAGAAUUGGUGCCUCUCAUUGUUGCUCUCACAGAUAUUAAUCAGCCUAGUCACUUGAAUAAAAUAGAAGUCAGGGGCCAAGUCAUAUAUAGCCCAAACUUCUUGGCACACAUACACACCCCAGCAAGACACCCCUGAGAACACUGAUUUCCAGAUACAUGCUUAUCACUUGGUCCUUGUUUUCUCCCAGGCCCUAUGAGGCCCGAGUGGUGGGAAUCUCCGGAACGAAUGAGUAUCAUCUGUGUACGAUACUCAUUUACUCCUACUCUGCUAUCACAGAUGUCCAUCAGUUAUAGCCCAAGGGCCUUUCUCCCUAGUGUAGCCUCUUGUUCUCUUCCCUAGUUGCAUGUGGUCAGAGCUGUGGAUGUCUGCCUGUCCAUCAGUAACAUCUGGGAUGCUUAGUACAAGUUCUGCUUUCCAAGUGAGUGCUUUAGGACC